rnacentral:lncRNA from 1 species
AACAAAUUCCAGACCUGCUUUUCAUCGUCAUGGGAUGAGUAUGAACCCCUUUCCUGGCUCUGACCCUGAGCCAGAUUUGGUCAUCCAAAUUCUCCUAGCCUCAAGUCCUGCGUGCGUAGCAAAAAAGCAAGACAAAAGGGCCCACACGAGGACACAAAGAGAUGCUGCGGGGAGCCUGCUUCAGGACUCCAUGGAGAGAUGCAUACAGUCACACACUCAUAGACCACUAGAGCCUUUGCAUCCCGUCCCCACAGCAGAACCUCUGCCCCUUGAAGGGUGGGGAAGGGGCCCAAGUAAACUUUGACUGGACCACAGCA